CUCUCAGGCUACAGAUACAGGAUCCAGUACAUAAUGCUCAAAGCAUAAACCCAGAUCAAAUCUCGCUGCAGCAGCAGUAUACAAAGGAGUAGAGAAAAAGCAUGCUGACCGUGCAUUGAAGAGAAGGCACUCGAAAGCCCCUGUUUACCCUUGUUUCAGGCACAAGUACAGUUCUUAGUGCAUGAGUGAUGCAAAAAUAACUGGAGGAUUGCAUCAAGCAUUCAUCCACGGCAAUUUAAAUAAAGAUGAGCUGACGUGAUGGAGAUUAACUGCACUGUAAGAAUGCCUGCAGUGCUCAGCAGAAUGAGGGGCAAGGGAGAAAAAGGACAAGGGGGGGAGUUACACUUCUAGCAAAAGGACAUAUCACUUAGUCCAGCAAAUCAGCAUGCCCAAAAUUUCAUAUUACUGACGUAGAUCUGGCUCUGGCAUGUCUGCAUCAUGCUGUGUAGGCAUUAGGUGCUCUGCAUGUUUAACAUGUGUCUGUAGUCCAGGAGGAAAAUUCUUUCAGUAUAUGAAAGGGAGCUACAGGAAGAAGGGGACAGACUCCUUAGCAAGAUCUGUGGUGACAGAACAAGGGGAAAUGGUUUCAUGCUUAAAGGGGGGAUAUUUAGUUUAGACAUAAGGAAAAAGUCUUUUACAGUGAGGGUGGUGAGACACUGGAACCGGUUGCCCAGAGAGGUGGUGGAUGCCCCAUCCCUGGAGACUGUCAAGGCCAAGCUGGACCAGGUUUUGGGCAACCUGAUCUACCUAUGGAUGUCCCUGUUCACUGCAGAGGAGUUGGACUAGAAAGCCAGGGAGAAUUCGGUCAGGCUCUGAAGAAUGAGGAGCUUCCACAGCUGCUGCCCUCUAGCCUUUAUGGACAUCAGAGAGACUGCACGGCCCUAGUUGUCUCACAGAAGUCUGUCCCUCCUGCCCUUUAAUCAUCCUUGAUCCUCUCUGAACUUCCUCCUGUAUGGCUGCAUUCUUUAUUGGUAUGCACCCGGAGCUAAAUACAGCGUAAAGAGUGCAGAACAGAGCUGUGUUGUAAUGGGUACUCAUUAAAAAUAAAACCCUCUGUCUUUGGACUUCGGUAACCACUGUGUAGCAGAGUUGAUUUACAAAGUUUAUCUGAAAAAGCAAAAUGCACUAUUAUUCAUUUGCAGAUAAAAGUCUGAAAUCUUCUACCUCUAAUUCCUAGAAAAGAGAGGAACAAAAGUAAACUGCCUUGAGUUGCUGCUUGUACCUCAGUUCCACAGGAUGGCAUCUGCCUCUCAGGACACACACAGACCCCUCGGAGUGCUCUGCAGUAUCUCCUGAUGCCUGGCUUGUCCCGCUCGCUCCUUCUAACAUCGCACUGGUCCUGUGCUGUGCAACUGGCCACUCUGACAGCUUUCAUCAUGCCAGAGUUUAUGGCAACUGUAAAUCUAUUAAGCCACAAUUUGCACUUAAUAAAACGAAACAGCAAGCAGUUAAACGAAAGCUCGAUCCUAAACGGGAGAACAUUUUUCAGGAAAAGUCAUUGAGGCUGCCACUGCUACUGCUGCCUGCCUGCCCGCCUUUGAGAAAUUCAAUCGUGCUGACUGAGGGAACCUGGGGAGAGCUGGCUACUCCUUCCUUUGGUUCAUAAUGGCCCCGUAGACCAUUUAAUCAUCCGCGGAUGACACAAAGGCCACGCUGUGAGCACCGGAUGUGGAGGAAUGCACUUAUCAGAUGCUUCCUGCCCGUGAGUGGGCACGGGUUCAGGCUCAUCCCCAUGUCCCUGUGCUUCAGAGUGUCCCUGCUGUCAGAGCAGAGAGCAGAGCAGAGGGCUGCUGCUGCUCCUCCUGAGUGCUUUUGUUUUCUUACAUCAGGGUGUGCACAAGCGGUGCUUUGGGAGCCGAGCUCAGAGUGUGGAGGGAAGGCCUUGUGCUGCAGGUUUCAGACAGGCCUGGAGGCACCCGCCCUGAGAAGCACUGGGUGCAGUCUUAGCAGGAGGAGAGGGGCACUGGGAGACAAAGCAGAGACUUACUUGCUCUUGUGAAACAGAUUUCUCUGUUGAUGUUAAAAUGACUUCCUCCAUGUCCACGGUUUCACCUCCACUCCAUAUUGUGUCAUUUCUGGGUGACCAAAUGGCUGACCCUGGUUUGUAGGUGAAUAGUCUGGUCAGAAACCGUAUGCCCAGUUUCAUUAACUAGAGAAAAAAAGCCCCAGCCAGGGGAGGCAAUGAGAGCUUGAAAAUUCGAUCCAUCGUACUAAUUGGUUUGGAAUAUUAGCCUUUAGUUUAGAUUGGAAAUCCAUUUCCUCCUGAAUACAGGCAAUUUGUUGACAGCUCGGGCCAUACAUGUAACCAUGUGAAGCUUGACAUGCCAUCCUCAACCCCGAGCCCACGAACGCUGGCAAACACAUUCAAAAUAGCUACAAGAGCUGGUAACUUCUGAGAGGAUGCCUCUGGACACAGAUCUGUGCCCAUUCUUACGAGCAUUCCUCCCGACAAAGUUUUAGGAUUUGCAAUUCAAAAAAGCCACUCGCUGCUGGCUAAUGCCUGCCAAUUAAGUUCAGCCCAUUGAAUCAACAGUUUCCUGUUACCUGUUCCUUCAGGUAGAACAGCGGCUGAUACCCCUGCCCUUUCCCAGGCUUCUGUGCAGGGACCUUUCCUGCCCGAAAACAGUGGGGACACCUGUUUUCUGGGCAGGGAAGGCCAGCACCUGAAAUCCUAGGAAUGGUCCCGCUAUUGAAAGCAGGGGGCUUGAUAAGGCAGCCACUGUGAUAGGCAGCGGAAAUUUGAUGAUGAAAGGAGAUGCCUAAUAGAUUAAUCUGGUGUGAUUUGCCAAAACACAGGGUUUUCUGGAAGAUUAUCCACACUCGCAAUAGGAAGCCCUUUGUUUUGUGAAAGUCCCCACUUAUCAUGGUAUUCUUUAUCUCAACAAGAAACAUAAUGGUUUACUUGUUUACAUGCAUAACAGAUAUAUUCAGAGCUGGGCUUAGGAACUGUGAACUCCUUUUCAUUUGAAACAUUUCCAGCAGGCAGGUUAUUAGCUGAGGGGGAACAAGCAGUUGGACACACAUAAAAUUUAAAUCUGCCUUGCUUAGAUUGGCAAAAAUGAAUGUUAUUUCAUCCACCGGGAAAAUGUUUUACUUCCUGCUCAAAUACUUUUGGAAGAAAAUCACAAGCUCAUUUGUAGCCAUCAUAUAUGUAUGUAUAUAUUUUUUUAGAGUUAAGUGUUAUGUCUACAGAAACGUAUUUGUUACUGUACACCGGUUAUUUUCCACUAAUAUUAAUUAUUUUAUUAGCUUGUCUUUACUUCUUCAAUUUUACUUUGCUUACUAUAAAAUGUGACUGAUGGCUUUACAUUAUUUAUACUGAAUGUGUGGCUGGAAUCUAG
ensembl:lncRNA